UACACCUGGAGAACCAUCCUUUGACAACAUUUGGCUGUAAAGAGAGAGCGGGCAGUGAUAAGUGGGAAGAACAAGACUGAGAAAAGGUGUACUAAGAUUGUGCUUGCUUUAGGAGUAGCUCGAAUUUCCCUUAUUAACUGUAUUCUCUUCUACCUGGUAUCUAUUACAGUCCCAAGUCCUUGGCCAUCUAUUUCUAUUUCAUCAACUUUUAUUAUUUUAGGGUCAUACAGUUUCCAACAUUCUGAUGUAGCCGUGUGAGUUGUUUGGAAAGGUUGCAAAAGAAUGAGAGUUAAUAAUUUUUUAUUACUGUAUCUUAAGUCUAAAUGUUUCUAAAGCAUGACUAUACAUUUGUGAUGACUGAUUUAAUGGUGAUAAAUGCAUUUAUCUCUAUACUUAAAAUAUGAAGUGGCAAUAAUUUGUGUAUUGACAUAAUAAAAUGGGGAGUGGUUGCAUAUAUUGUUUUCUUUUGUUACAGAAUCUGUUCCCAGCUAUACCACCAAAGUAUCUUUUAGCCUUCAGCUUUGAUACCAUCCGUCAGAAGACUGCAGAAUCCCCCUAUCCUGUGAAGCUGUACAUCUUCGUGUUGUAGGUCAUGUCACAGAGGAAUAUGAUUUGUGCUUAAGGACAAAGUCUAGAAACCAUGAGCAUAGUUGUUAGGAAAAAUGAUUUUCAAAUUUCAAAUUUAUGAAUACCUCUCCCUGUAGACUGGAAAAUUGAUAAAUGGGUUUAUAUAUUGAUAUUUGAAGGAUCACUUGCAUACACUUUUUUCCAAAUAAUGCACAUUUAAUGUUUUAUAAAAUGUGUUAUUUUUUAAAACUGUAACUUAAAGACCAAAUUCUGAAGUUGAUUGCAUUGUUUUUAGGAACCUAGAAAUUAAGGGGUUGUGGAAAGAGCAUUUAUAGUGUUCUAGUUAGAUGAGACUUUAUUAUUCUGUAAGAGUUUUUAAUGCAUUGUUAUUAUUUUUUUUUACUGAGAACAGUCUUUCUUGGCUUUAUACAAACUGCUAUUUUCAUAUGUCAAUGAUAUUUUGCAAGUGCAAACUGUCAGGAAAGACUUGAGGUAUAAUCUGGGCUUUGAUGGUAGGAAGAAGGGCUGGACUGUGGGCCCCUGCUUUGGGCUCAGGACACACAGUUGGUGCAUGGGUAGCCCUUGUGGAGGGCGUGUGGAGCUGGCUGGUCAUGGGGAGCCUCGCAUGGCCUGCAGGUUUGGUUGUCCUACCCUGAGUGGGCUCCUCAGAAGUCCUGGGACCCACCUCAGAGCAAGGAAUCAGAGGCAGGGCCCUCAGUGACGUCCUCUAAGGUGGCCAUUUAGGGUUAUAGGGAUGACCAGUCCAUGCUGAUGAGGGGUGCCUAGCAAGGCUUUCUUGCCAUACCACAGGACAGCUCUGCCCUGGCCAAGGCACUGGGGUGCAGAGGGAGCUCACGAGACUGUGUUUUACCUUUGCAAAGAUGCGAUUCAUUACAGGGCUUUGGACUCUUAUAUCACAUCAUAUGAUCUGGAGAAAUUGUACAGAUAUCUAUUUUUAUACCAUUAUCUUGGACUAAAAUAAGAUUGUGAGUGAGUUGAAGCUUAAACAAGUAGCUUUUGGUAACUAUGCUUAUUGUGGUGAGCAUUUUGUAAUGUAUAUAAAGGUUGAAUCACUUUGUGGUACACCUGAAACUAAUAUAAUACUGUAUGUCAACCACACUUCAAUUAAAACUAAGUAGCCUCUGUGACUAAGAAGGAAAAAAUGCAUCUAUUCAUGUAUAUUUAACAUAUGUAUUGACUCCUCUAGGGUCUAACCCAGUGCUGUCCAGUAGGCCCUUCUGCAGUGAUGCAGCUGUUCUAUAUCUGUGCUGUCCAGCGUAGGAACCGUAAGACACAUGUUUCUUGAGCACUCAAAAGACUGGUGUGGCUGAAAAACUAAAUUUUUAAUUAAAUUCACAUAUAACCAUAGGUGGCUACCAUAUUGGGCAGCACAGAUCUAGCGAGUUAGGUUUUUGAUAAGUUAAGCUGGGCUAGACACGAAGGGUGAUUUUUAUUUUCUCUUAUCUGAAGAACAAGUCCAUCCCCAGAGGGGAUACUAUUGACACCCAAAUAUUUUGUCUUGUUUGGCUUAAUGAUAAUUUCAAAUAUUUUAUCCACAACAAACAUAAAACAGGGAGAGCAUUCUAAAGCACAUGGUAAUGCUUUAGUAGGGGAUUCUUUCAAUUUAAAAGCAAACUGAGAAGUGGUGAAGCGGUAAAAAGAGUGGGAAUGCAAGAAAUCACUCUAAUGGAACUUCAAAUGAUUGUAUCUUUAUUUUUAACUCCUUAAAAAUAUAAUUAAAAUUUAUUAGUUGUACUACUUCAAUGACUGGAAUUCUGUUUCAUGCCAAGGUCUAUGUUAUAUAUAGCCAAAUGGAAAAGAUAUCUGAAAAGGGUGAUUGAGGGUUUUCACACAAAUUGACUGUCCAUACCUUACAUAAAAUUUAUUUCAAUUAAACCAGUCUUUUGUGCAAAAACCUUGCCUUGGUGUUACAUAUAAAUAAAUGAAAAAGUACUGCAUUGAUGAAUAAUUAUUUCAUGUUACAUAUCUCCAAACAAAUACAUUGUUUGAAUAUGAUGGUUGUAGAGAUACUAUUUAUUUAUAUAAAUGUAAAAAUGUAGAUUCUGAAGUACAGUAUGCAUCUUAGUGAAAAUACCAUAGAUUUUGAAAAUUUUACAUGAUGCAUGUGGACUAAUAAAUGAUUUGGAGAAGUAGUUUGCAUCAUGGAAUAUAUGUAUGAACAUUAAAGAAAUAUGAGUGAAAGAAUAAAAUAUAAUUCUUAGAAGAAAAAUGUUUUGGUCCUUAAAGCUUAUUAUUUUACUCAUUUUUCAUGUGUUGGGAGUAAAAGGGCAGAAACACUUAGGUGAACUCAUUGAGUAGUAUGUUUUAAUUGAUAGCAAGAUCCACACCAGAUUUCUUGACUCCAGCUUUCUAGAAUGACCAUUUGGCAUGUCUGCCAAACACCACAUUAGGGUCACUUAAUGAUGAGUGUGAACAGGCAGCUCUGGAAAUCAGUGUUUGUCCCUUUCUGUUCUUUCCUGCUUCAAAGCAUCUCCCUACUUCUGAAUGGGAAGGAAACUUCAAUACUUUGGGGUACUGUUUUGUGGUGUAUAUAGGUUGAAAUGCUUAUUUUAUGGUAUGGGUUUUGGAUUUAUUUCUAAAACUUAGGACCUUAAAUCUACAAUAGUGUUGAUGUAUACAUAUAUUUAAAAGAUGUUCAUACUCCUGUCCUCAGCAAAAACAUCAGCUAUUAGAUGUGACUCUAUGUAGUACUUUCGCACUUUUGGAUAACUGCCAGAAACAUACAUACCUGCUUCGGCUACCCAUGGCACAUGAAAGAGAAGGCAUGGUAAAUGGACAUUCAUAAACCCUCAGCUAAGUCCUGCCAGACUCCUCUUGGGCAAUCAGGAGGUAGGUGGAGGCAGUUUACCUUGCAGUGUGGCUUUCUAGACUUCAUGGUGCCCUCCAGAGCCACUGGCUAGGACUCUUUGUGCUCUUGGUCUCAUUAAGAUUCCUCUCUGACGCCACCCGGGACUAAGGCUGUGAUGAACAUGUUUAUUUUUCUUCCAGUUAUUAUGGAUUCCAAAUGGGGCUUCAUGUAGUUCCCUUAAAUUCUGCUGCUCUCUCAUGUCUGUGGAGGAAGGAUCAAAGCAAAAGAGAUCCACUCUCAGAAUUAAAGGGGGAGAUUUGAAAAGGUCAUUUAUUCAUUUCAGUUUAAUUGGUUCUACUGUUUUGCCAAUGUCAUGGUUUUCCUGAAAAGUGUGCUUUGUAGCUGGAGAGUCCUUUGUGACUUUUAUGAAUUGCCUUCUCUGGAUUCAUGUGCAAGAGAAGCAAAAAACACAGAGACAAGAACAUCAGACUUGGAGGCAGCGUAGAACUUCGUUCCACUAAUACCUCUCCAGAGCCUCCCAAAGGUCUCAGCAAACACUAGUCUUGGGAAUGAAUAAUAGACUGAACAUUUUGGGGAGGCAAUGUGAUUAAAACUCACCGUGAAGUUUAUUAUCUUCCAGAGAUGUUAUUUCAGUACUGCCAAGUCAGAAGUACUUGCUAUUUAUACAAACUUGAAAUAAUUGUGCAAAUAUCUCUCUUCAGCUGCCUUCUGCAGUAUGUACAAUGCCGACACCCAAGAUGUUUGUCCUGUACAGAGUAGGAUGAGCAUCGUGCAGGGAGCUGGAAGAGAUGACUGAUUCUUUAGGCUCCCUCUUCUUGUGGUUCCUCAGCUGUCAGCAUUUCUUCAGAAUUCGGAGCACCAGGUUGUUCAGGAUCCUUGAGAUGUUCUCUUCUAUGAACUCGGGAGCCUCAAACAGAGCCUGGAAGCACUUCCGACAUCUCUGGGCAAAGACCCUCAUCUUCACCCGGCCCCUGCGUUCCCUCUCACUCCAGUGCAUGUGGAAAAGGACCUGAACUUGGGCAGAGGUCCAGCUGCGAGAGCACAAGGAGCACUGGAACCUGUGGAGACAGAGGCCCCUUUGCAGUUAGUUUGAGGCAAUGUGACCAGUUCGCCAACAGGAUGUGGACAGAAGUGAAACAUGCUACUUCCAAACGUGGCACAGAAGCCCUUGGAAAACGCUCCAGCUUUCUCCACCUCACCAACCUUGGGAGUCCUGUGUUAGGUAAACCACCAAUAUUUCAGGGCUUAUUAGUUAUAGCAACCAAGUUUAGGCUUGCCUGGCUUGAUGCACGGGCCCUGAAGUCUGGGGUAGUGGACCGGGAAGAAUGAGUCAGUCAAGGCUCCCCUCCAGAAUCCGGGUCCUGGCCUCACUCCACAGGGUGGACGUGAACGUGGAGGAAAGAUGCCAAGAGGCUCGAGUACCCUGAGCGAGAUGGCCUUGCUGGAGGUCAUGCAGAGUGGGUGGUGCAACGGGGCCUGGGCCCUGUUCUGCUGGCCGACAGUUGCCUGCCCUCUCUCUGAGUCACACUGCUCUGCUGUGUGUCAACUCAGAGUUCAAAGUUCUCAUGGAAAAAAGAGCUGAGCUUUUGCUCAGGUGCUCCUGGCCCAGGAAAACCACAGAUGGCAAGGAGAGGAGAUACCUGCUUCCUCCGCCUAGAGCCCCUCCCAGAGAGGGGGCAGUGGGCGGUUGCAAGCCCCUGUUAUGGUCACCGGGUUAGAGUCCCAGGCCCCCACACUCUGUGCUGUGGACAACCCCACCCCCAUCCCUGGGAACCUGCUUUCUCACUUAGAAAAGAGAGGGUGGGACUUUGGAUGACUAGCAAGGAUUCUAUAUUUGAAAGAUUCCAUCAGCUCAGAGUAGAGAGGGCAAGCCUGCUGUGUGUUGCUCAGCUCCCCCAUCCUCUGCCCUCUCCCUGAGGGGUGUCCUCAGUGCCCAGGGCUUCUCUGUCAUGGUGGACCCAGCAUGUCCCGAGGCAGGAGCACAUGCACCAAGCCUUGUGCAUCCAGCUCUCCUGUGGCUGACGGAGAUAGCUGCCAUUUCUCCCCUCUGCUCACUGCUCCUGCCCUUACUCCUCGCAGCCUCAUUUAUCUGCAUCUAGGCCUGAGCCCACAGCAGUGCCCAUCCUGGUAUUGUUUGGGCGUUUGUUAUAAUAAGGAAAAAACACCUUUACUGAAGCUAAAACUUCUUAGAUGAUAGGAACCUCACCUCCUGUAAUCUUCAGUUUGCAAGCAUGGAAUCGAACAAUGAAAGUAACAAGUAUACACAGUAAGAAACAAGCUAGGAUUUUCUGGAAAUGUAUUCCAGAAACGUGCCUUCCCAUUCCUCCACUUACCUGGCGAAGACCCACUGCUGGUAUUGUGCCCAUUCUGGCUUCAGGACGUUGGGAAGAAGGCCUUUGUCUAGUGUCAGGGUCCAUUUGUGCCAUGGUUUUAGCUCCUGAAUUAAUUCCUGAAAUACUUGCUUCCACACCUUCAUGUCCUGACACAUCGCUGCUGCUGUGGUGCGCUACCUGCUCCCACUUUAGAGAGUAAAGCUCAGACCCGUUCUCCCUUUGUGUACCAGAUCUUUGCCCCAAGACAAAGGUCAGUUAGGUCUGGCUCCAAGGUCGGAGACCAGGGCUAGGCUGCACAGGGAAUUCCCAAAGACACGGGAUUUCAUCAAUAAAAAUACUGUCCAAGCUAUAUUAAGCUGAAAAGCUUCUGUACAGCAAAAGACACCAUCAAUAGAACAAAAAGGAACCCUACAGUAUGGGAGAAUAUAUUUGAAAAUGACAGAUCCGAUAAAGGCUUGACGU